AUUUCUUCGACUUAAGCUUAGACUAAUCAUUCCUAGACAGGAAUUACGUACGGCGAAAAGUGGCCCCUACAUCAGUUUGUAUAAUAUUCAUAUUUCGUAAGACGUUACACUAACACAUGUUACGUUAUAAAUUGUAGGCGUUGACUCUUUUGAUAGUUGUCAAUUUUCCAUGUUGUUUUUCUUCCGUGUCGCGACGUUUUGAUUUUA